UCCCUUGUAGCUCAGUCGGUAAAGAAUCUGCCUGCAGUACAGGAGACCCAGGUUCGAUCCCUGGGUUGGGAA
rfam:TPA: Bos taurus chromosome 4, whole genome shotgun sequence.